rnacentral:tRNA from 1 species
AUUAAGGUGUCCGAUUUAGGUAGUAGACUGUAAAUUUACUUAAGAAUAUUAUUUUCUCUUAAUA